rnacentral:lncRNA from 1 species
AUUCCUCCAUUGUUUAAUAGCAGCUCUAUCUCCUUGUGAUAAUUAGGGACAAUUACCCCUUUAGGUCAGUGACUUCUCUAUGUUUCUGCUAGUUUCUUGGAGUGAGUUCAAAGUGCCCAGGCAUUAUCGAGAGGCUAAAAUCUAUUGAGGCUUUUGCUAGCACCAGCUGGAAAAGUUAACCAUUUGGAUAACCAGGAUCUCCAAAAACCUUUGCAGAGUUCAGUGUUGCAAGGACCAGAAGCAUGGGUUAAGAAAAGUGAUGGUAAACAGAUUAUCUGCCGUGUUUUCUCAUUACUUUAUAAAGCAAGUACUGAUUGGGUGAAGAAGGAGUUGUCUCCUACCCUUUGCAAUUCCUGUAAUAUGCUCACUCUUUGGGAAAAUGAUCUUGGAACCAGUGACUCCCGAUGCCAUGUGUGAAUCAUAGCACUAGGAGAUGUGUUGCAUGCCUGUGAAUUAUACCCCAAGUGUGACAGACGAUGACUAUUUGGAGGAUGCCAAAUAGCAGUUGCCGUAGCAACAAUAACCAGGGGAUGCUUCUCCGAACUUCUGCCUCCUCUCUGCCCCAUCAUUUCCCCUGUUUUGAGAGUUAGAUAACGUGGUUACUGGAAUUAGUCGAAGCUGGUUCCCACCCCCAGCCCCCACCCAGCAUAAUGAAAGAGAGAAAACUUAGAAAUGUCUGCCUUCUUCUUACUAUCAGGGGAAAUUCAGCAUAUCUCUGCAGUCAAGACUGAAAGGAGGGAGACUCAGAGGGCAAAGAGCUGUGCGCUCUCAUACUAAUAAAUGCUCGGUGGUGGGAAAAUUAAUUGUCAGAACUGCUCCUGCAAACCACUUGUGAGGAAUGAAAAAAAUCAUUGUUGAAUUUCCACACGUGGGCUAAAAGAACAGUAUGUAAAUUGGAUUGCAAGAUGCUGUGUUCUGUGAGUGGAAAUUUCUGGUCUCUUCUGGAUCUGACAUGGCAGAUUUAAUUUUACUUUCUUAAAAAAAUAGGAGUGUAAUCUAGACAGGGAGAAGGAAAAUUUCUUUUAAUUACCUAUGACUUUAUUGAUAUGUACAGCCCCUUCCCCAAAUAAAUAUUCAGAUUAAAGCAGAGAAUGAAGUUUAAGGAAAAUUCUAUUUGCUAAGAGCGGAGUGGAUUUCUUCAAAGGAAAAGAAGCUUAAGCUUCAGGGCCCCUUCUAAGGCCCUGAAUCUAAAUUUGCAUUUGUAAAUAUAUUACAAUUCUUCUUUAAAAUCCACUCUCUGAUUAUAUACACUUUGAGCUCCACAAAUUCUCGAUCCACCUCUCAGGAGAAGGCAAAAUGUAAGUGAUUUAUUUGAUUGUAUGUUUUGCUAUUGCAUCACUCUUUAUGACAUUCAAAUUUCUCACCUUGUAGUUCUAUUUUGAG